UACGUAGGGUGCAAGCGUUAAUCGGAAUUACUGGGCGUAAAGCGUGCGCAGGCGGUGAUGUAAGACAGGCGUGAAAUCCCCGGGCUUAACCUGGGAACUGCGCUUGUGACUGCAUCGCUGGAGUGCGGCAGAGGGGGAUGGAAUUCCGCGUGUAGCAGUGAAAUGCGUAGAUAUGCGGAGGAACACCGAUGGCGAAGGCAAUCCCCUGGGCCUGCACUGACGCUCAUGCACGAAAGCGUGGGGAGCAAACAGGAUUAGAUACCCUGGUAGUCCACGCCCUAAACGAUGUCAACUGGUUGUUGGGUCUUCACUGACUCAGUAACGAAGCUAACGCGUGAAGUUGACCGCCUGGGGAGUACGGCCGCAAGGUUG
rnacentral:rRNA from 1 species